UUUAAAUUGAGAGUUUGAUCCUGGCUCAGGACGAACGCUGGCGGCGUGCCUAACACAUGCAAGUCGAGCGAUGAAGUCCCUUCGGGGAUGGAUUAGCGGCGGACGGGUG
rnacentral:rRNA from 1 species